CCACGUUAGCUCCAGAUUCCGGUCAAUUGACAUCUCACCCUGUGGUGGCAUGAUAAGCUGCUUCUGCGUCUGUCCACGCACGCUGAAGUCAGCCGUGGGUGAGGGAGUCGUCGUCUUCUCCAAUUACUCGUCCUUGUCAUGGGAUGGGUAUGGAGGUCCGGGGUGGUGGCUGUUGGAGUCGGCAGGCACAAGCGAACAACGGGGUCCAGAUUAAGAUAAGCCUAGAGAAAGAGACAGGAGCAGGAAAAUGGAUUAGGUUGGCUACCACGCAAGAACAUAUGAGAGAGGGCCGAAAGGCCGUGUCUCAUGCGUGCAGGGGAGCGUCCGGGAAGAUGGCGAAAGAAGACGACGACGCGA
rnacentral:lncRNA from 1 species